rnacentral:rRNA from 1 species
UAUUGCACAAUGGGGGAAACCCUGAGGCAGCGACGCCGCGGGAGGGAAGAAGUAUUUCGGUAUGUAAAGCUCUAUCAGCAGGGAAGAUAAUGACGGUACCGGACUAAGAAGCCCCGGCUAACUACGGGCCAGCAGCCGCGGAAAUACGUAGGGGGCAAGGGUUAUCCGGAUUUACUGGGUGUAAAGGGUGCGUAGGUGGCAGGGCAAGUCAGAUGUGAAAGCCCGGGGCUCAACCCCGGUACUGCAUUUGAAACUGUCCAGCUGGAGUGCAGGAGAGGUAAGCGGAAUUCCUAGUGUAGCGGUGAAAUGCGUAGAUAUUAGGAGGAACACCAGUGGCGAAGGCGGCUUACUGGACUGUAACUGACACUGAGGCACGAAAGCGUGGGGAGCA